GACGAACGCUGGCGGCGUGCUUAACACAUGCAAGUCGAACGGAAAGGCCCUGCUUUUGUGGGGUGCUCGAGUGGCGAACGGGUGAGUAACAGGUGAGUAACCUGCCCUUGACUUUGGGAUAACUUCAGGAAACUGGGGCUAAUACCGGAUAGGAGCUCCUGCUGCAGGGUGGGGGUUGGAAAGUUUCGGCGGUUGGGGAUGGACUCGCGGCUUAUCAGCUUGUUGGUGGGGUAGUGGCUUACCAAGGCUUUGACGGGUAGCCGGCCUGAGAGGGUGACCGGCCACAAUGGGACUGAGAUACGGCCCAGACUCCUACGGGAGGCAGCAGUGGGGAGUAUUGCACAAUGGGCGGAAGCCUGAUGCAGCGCCGCCGCGUGCGGGAUGACGGCCUUCGGGUUGUAAACCGCUUUCGCCUGUGACGAAGCGUGAGUGACGGUAAUGGGUAAAGAAGCACCGGCUAACUACGUG
rnacentral:rRNA from 1 species